UCGUACCAUACUAUUGACUUGAAUUGCUAAAACUCAGUGAGCUCCUUAUGAAACAGCCAUGAAGCCUAUACACAAAGACUUGCAAAGAGGAGAAAUACUACACACAAAUAACAAAUGAUGAAAAAUUAAAAACAACCCCCAAAAGGUAUAAAAAUCUGCAUAUUAUGAAGAGAUAAUGAUACAACACAAUACUGCAUGUGCUAUAGAACAUAGUACCACACACGUGCAUACAAAUGAACCUGUACAGUAUAAUACACCUGAUGGGCAAUGAACCAACCAUUCCUGUGGCUCUGGGACCCAGGGUCUCCGGCACAGAACCCACUCACUAACACCUUCAGGUAACAGUAUGACUGGUGAUCAGCAGAAAGCUGUCUUGCCAGUGCUUCAUAUGCACCAAAAUCCCACUUAAAAAGCUAUAAUACACAGACUCUGACUGACCUAAAUGGUGUAACCAGGGUUCACGCCUCUUGUGCAAAAGGGAGGAAGACAUUCUGAAACAGGAGCACCUUCUCUCUGCUUUGCCCACGGGUGAGGCUCUGGCUGGACGUGCCUCCCAGGAAUACUCAACUGCCAUGGAUUUACAAUACUCCAGAACCCUGGUCUCCUGAAAACGAUGACAGUGAAAAUGGGAGUGAAGGUGUCUUUAAGAGAGGAGGCCUGAGGAAUAAUUCCCUUUGAAAUUACCUUUGCCGGUGUAUAACCUGUGCUGCUGCUGGAUCACAGCCUGUUACAGACUGAACAAAGCAAUGACCUGGAGUGUACCAAUAUCCCCCACAAAGCUAAUAAUAAGAGAAGUAGAUCACAAGUGUGAGAUGAACAACCAUCUUGUUCAAAUCUGCUCGAUGCUGCAUGAAGGAAA